ACCUAAGUUAAAGUCUUGUAACACAAAUUGGUACAAUCGCGAUAACGUUAUCGCCACAAUGUUAUCAAAACUGUUGACCCUCUACCAGAGACAUUGACCUAUUUUCCAGAAUGGUCCAUGAUCAAAUACAGUGUUAUAGCACGAAACGGUACACUGGCAGGAAUCUUUCAGUGAAGAAUCAGCAUCGUCACUGAAACGGCUCUUGGCGGGGUUAUUUGAAUAUCUAACUGUCCUGAAUGAUCCUGCAUGCCAGGAACGAUCCCUGCUAUUACAUGAGUCUUUCUAAUGCGUUCCGGAGUCGAUAUGCCAUAGGAAUACAGAAUACGUCUAGUACAGAAGGAGACGUAGCCUAAGGCAGAAAAAAAUGGCCGCCACGAAUUGGAAGACUUGCAAGAGGUUUUUGAUGUACAAGGAGGAGAAUACUGAAAGGAGAAAGAUGAGAAAGGUGUCUCGUUUAUGGUAUGAGGUUGUCUCAUUCGCCCUCUUCCCAGCAUGGACGUACCCUUCGACCUGGGCGUCUCCAUAACGGAAUUCGUUCUCUCUGACCCUGAACGAUGCGUGUCUGCGGAUAAUGCGCCAUUUUAACUUCGUGGGAGAAAAUACUCUUGGAGAAUUUUAUAAUGACGACUCGUUACACUAUACCCGUAUUUCAUACUACAUUACCUAUGGUAUCUAUAAGUUUAAUCUUUUGUACUCGACUGUACAUUUAUAUAGUAUUCAAUUUUACUAAGUUCCAUAUUACUUUUGAAUCACAAAUUACUUGGAAUUUAUGCGACUGAAAUUUCGAUAUUUUUAAAUUCUAGAAUUGGAAAGGUUAUUUGAAUUCAAGACAAUCGACAAGAGGGUACAGAUUUAUAGGAAUUGUUCAAUCGAUACGAGAUGAAUACUUAUCCGGAAUUGAAUUUGAUAUCAAAUUAAGAUUGAUUUAGAAAUCUUUAAAGGUUUUCUCCUUUCCAUUUCUUGACUCUGUGCAUAAAAUUCCUGUCAUAUUUCUUUAAGGGAAAUUCACUGAGCUUACUGGAACUUGUAGUUCACUCGCAAGGCAGAUGUCUGACGACUUUAUAGUCUAUAGUCCAUAUAUCGCAUUGGGAGAGGCAUUUCUAUUUUUAAACUUAACGGACAGUCAAUUCUAUCCGUAGCUCGUAAACCGGAUUCAUAUCUUGGAAUCUCUAAGGGUAAAACCUAUGCAGAUGGUGCGACUUCUAUAUAUUGUAGAAGCAAUGCCUAACAUGCCUACUCCUUCUUACACACCUAUGAGGUAGACAUACGGGGUGAUUAAAAAUUAUAAUCAAACUUAAGUGUACUUAAAUGAUCAAUAAUUAAAAAGUCAUUAUAAGUAUCUUUAAGCAUCACAAUGAACAACCUUAACUUCCUUCGAGUACCUACGUAAAUUAAAUAAUAAAAUAUUUUAAUAAUUGUAAAAAUUUAAUAAACGCUAUAUACAUAUAGUAGCGACAUUCAAAAAUGUUUGAUGAUACUUCAUUUCCUGUUUUAAGGAUACCUUAUUAUAUUAGAUAUUAUAUACCUUAAUUAUAAUUGAUUUUAUAAUCACCCUAUAUGUGCCUACCUACUCAAUGCUCUUCUAGUUCUUCUCUCUUUAUCUUUCAGACGCACACGUCAUUCCUAUCAAGCACACGCCACAUUGUAUUUACUAUGAAUACGCGGAUGCUGCAUCCACCACGAGAAUUCCAUUGAGAUUUCUUAAUCGUCGAGACAGCAGCUUGCUUAUUUUACAUAGGAAAGAAGAAAAUUGAUCUUACCAAAAAUGUCUCUCUUGAAUAUAUAUAUGACUGAGAUAACUUGAAACGAAUAAAAAAAAAUUAAGAUGAUUAAAGAAUGUAAGCACAUAGUAAGAAGCUCAUCUCAUCAAUCUCUAUUCCAUAGGCAGUUCAUUUGAUCGUACAAGACCAAGCUGUCGGAACGCAUUUACAUUAUCAUAAAGUCAAGCACAGCCAGUUACGUGCACGUAAGUCUAACGCGAAGGGAUGCUGCACGCCUUGAAUUUACGUAGCUGUCUUGACAAAGGAGAUGAUGCCAGAGUCUGCUGUAACGCCAAGAAAUUUAUAGCAUCCUCCAUUCUAUUUGCGUACCCUGGAUACCUUGACACAAAUGACGUCAGAGAUACUGUUGGACGAUCUCGCAUAAAAUUACUGUUCAUCGUCAUUCGCUAUACAGGCGAAUUUGCCAUCCUUGAUCCGACUAUCUUAAUCAGGAUUCUCUCUUGGUAUCCUCAUCCUCUUAGUACCCAACAUUCCUUUUGAUCAUUUAUGAGUUUUUUUUUUUUUUUCUUUCGGUUUAAUGCAGUAUCUUUCGGAUCAAUAAAUUCUGGAGAUUCUUUCUAUCUGAAAUAAUAAUAAUAAUAAUCAUUGACACAUAAUCCAGCAGAGGUUCUCAGGGUCAGAGAGGUGUGGAUUGUUUUUGUUGAAAUACCUUUUCUGAGCAGCAUCCGUUUCCUGGAUAACGCUAAUAUUGAGAACCUCUUGUGGCGCCAGACGCCAUCUGGAAUGCGGUUCCCAACUCCUCCAGAGAAUCCCUAUCCACGUGGGUACUUCUCCCACGCGUUACACGUGUCUUCUACCUAGUGCUCUCUUAGAUGCAUUCACGGUUAUACUCUCCUGAGAAUUGGGUAAUACUGGCCCGUGCCACUGGACCCUUCUGGAAAUAAAAUUAACGAGCGACGACUAGGUUAUCCAAUAUCAGGCAUCCUCAUGACACUUACCACUUACCACUAUGUACCUUUGUACAAGAUUCCUGUGGGCAGAGUCAAUGAUAUAUCCAGAUUUGGCUGUGUAAACUAAGACGAAAGUACCUGUAGCAUUGAUUCAUUGAGAACUGCUCCGCAAGAGGAUGGAGUGAACGUAGCAGAUGUUAAUUUCGAUAUCUUGGCAUCUUGGUAAGAUGCCAAGAUCGAAGAGAGUCUAGGAAUUUUUCAUUAAUUCUAGGAAGCUGCUUCCGGAGCAGAGUGAGUUAUACUUAGGCGAUCGUACGAUUAACUACUAAUCUCUUUCUCUCUCUUGAAAUUCCUAGUGGACCCCACUUCCUCUCUGUGUGUUACUGUGCCUUUAUACACGGCCGACUACUAUCUGCAUCCCCGGCAGACGCCAUACCCCUUUUCCCUACUGUUCUAUUUUCGGAACGCGCCAUGUAGCUGGCCCUAAAUAUAGCUGAGUCCAGCUUAAUAUAGAUCCUGAGGGCCCGUAGAGACUUUAAUUCAUUUGUCUAGACUGCUUCGUACGUAAGGCAUUACUUUUCGGACAGUUUUUUUCAACAGCUACCACCAUGACAUCGACCCCUUUGAACUUUCACCCUGAAGACAUCUGACUAAGGUCAAUCACAGACUGACCAAGUCAUCUAGAUCCCAAGGGUUGAUUGAUGCACGGGGAGCUUAACGAGGCACUUUUUUAUCCACCUCAGACAGAUUCACCACUCACCAGUCUCUGCAAUUUCGUUUAAAAGUCAAAAAACCAGGAGAUUUACGAGAGCAGAAGAUGAAAGUGAGUCUAAUGCAAAGAGUGAAGUGAAAAAAAGAAAAGUAUCUAAUUAGACACACUCUCAAUAUAUUUAUCUUGAGUUAAUUGCAUGGUUAAUACGGAGAGACCACCGAGGAACGUUAUCUCAAUUAAUUUGCAGAUUUUCCGAGGGCAAAUAUGCAAGAAAGCAUCAAUGUGAAUCAUCCAGGAAUGUAACCUGCUCCGUGGUGGACGGCUGCCACAGUGAAGCAGGAUGAAAGGUGUAGCUUCUCGUGCACGUUUCACGCGUGAGUCACGUGCCAGCGUUUAGGUUAUGGCCUCUUCUACCUCGCCUAACUCACGCAUUGCCGUUUCUGCACGCACUCACGCACGCAUCCAGCAAUUUCUUGGCCAGUAACGGGUUACCCUGGUGCUGCUUGGCAAACAAAAUGAUUAUUCCGAAUGAGUAGAGGUACCCUAGGUAAAUUCCAUGGAGCAUCUUAAGAAUUUUCUCACGGGACAUAUCCAUUAUCCAUGACUCACGUAGCCAAUGGUUGAUAUAUAAAUUUAAAUGACUUAUCGGGAGAAUAAAUAACCGUAUACAUAUAUGUAACAAAAUAUCAAACUGUUUUUUCUUCUCCUAAGAAUAAAAGUUGUUGUAAUUAUUAUUUGCUAGCUCCUUGGCUAUUAUAAGUGUCCGCUUAUAGGAGCUCGAAGGGACCUGAUGUUGCUCUUGCAAGAAUGCUCCUUCAUCGAUAAAUUAAUAGGCAAGAACCGCAUGCCAUGCCCAUGAAGUUCAACCGUAAUAACAUAAUAAUACCAUAGAUGCCACCCGACUAAUUUAUUCGCGAUUGGAACAUGGUAAAAAGUUAAAGACUGCCCUAAGGGUCCAAUGAUCGUCCCAUCCCUCCUAUGCUUCUCUUCUAUACAAGGAGGGGAGGGACUCCACAUCUCUGCUAUCUUUCGCAUUUUUAGUCUGCCUCGCUCUUUCUCGGUCUACGAGACUCUAUUGGAAGCAGUUGGUGACUGGCAGACAUAAAGAAAAAAAAGUUCAAGGAUUCCUAAUGAAUCGUUUAAACGGAUUGCGAAUCAUUGAGAAAGAAUCUAACCUUGACACAAAAGACCAGAAGAAUGACGUUUUACUACCAGUCAACUUGUGUCAAUGCGUUUCAAAGAUAGUUGAGAGUGUUGCCAUAGGCAAAGGUGAACUUUGAAAAACAUUCAGGACCGACCAAGAAGAAAGACAGUCGAAGGCAGCUGAUAAUGAUGAUAAUGAUGAUGAUGAUGAUGUAUGCGAAUAAUAAUGAGAUACUAUGAAUAUGGUAAUAGGCUUUUGGACGAUUAGGUGUCAGCCACUGCGAAUGACGUGUCUUCUUGUCUCUAACACGUAUGAAAUUGCUGCUGCUCCGACUGUACCGUAAUGUACCUACUAGGUUUGCCUUUCAUUCUCUUCCUGAACGCCGGCCUCCUUUGAACUUGUAAAGAUCCAGCAGGACUUUCUUGCUCCAUUUGAAUAAAGGACUUAAAUAAAAUGCAGAGAAGCUUAUUUACUCGAGGAAUGGAAUUUCAGUGAUGUUCAAGUAUCUCAUAGGAAUAUACGGAAUAUACGGAAUAUACGGAAGAUACUAGAAACAGCUUGUACCCUUUAGGCAUCUAUAACGUGCAGAGCCAAGAAGAACGUGAGGCAUUGUGCGUAAAGUUACACGAUGCAUUGUUCUCGGUUUCUUGUAUCCCAUAUUGCCAUCAUCAUCGCCAUAUUGGGACAGAAGCCAGGCACCAUAUGUAUAUACAUAUAUGAGAUACAGCAAGAAAUGAAAAUUGUAGGGAAACCUGAAAAUUGAUACGGACAGUAAAAAUUCUUAAGGCACAAUGACUCCCGUCAGUAAAGAUUCAACGAGGUUACGUCACGAUAACAAUUUAUACUUUAGAAGUCCAUUAAUCAUAGAGUGAUAGAUUGGAAUUUGACUGUUAUCACUUUGUCAUUCAGUUGCCAAAGAAGUAUGCGAAAUUGAUCUCGGAAAUUAUCCUCAGCUGUCACUCGUCCACUGUCAAUUUACAUAUGAACGAUAAGUCAGAAUCCAAACACGUGUCUCAUUGGCAAUUUCGUUACAGGUUCUUGACAGUUAUCAAGUGUCUCGUUACCAGCUUCUUAGUAUACCCAUUAAGUGUUAUAGCGUGAACGGGUUUUCUGGAAAAAAAAAAAAAAAAAAAUUCUGGAUUUGAAGAUUUCAAAAUCUCGGAAAGGCGAGAACGCGUGAGAAUUAUUUGCAAAAAAAAAGACAAUUUUUCCGGUUUCUACGUAAUUCCACGAAGAGCCUGUCCUGUCCUUUUCGGUGCUGCCAUAUCAGGAGUUUAACAUUCAUGAGGGAUCGUCAGGUUACUCACGGACAUGCUGACUGCCGGCUGAGCUCCUUCGCGAGUUCACAAAAGAUGGAAGAAGGCUUGGCUUACGUAAUCAUCAUACGAACCCGUACUUUUAUAUGGCACUGCACGAAGCAUAGUUGGUAUGAAGCAAGUAGCCUGGAAUGCCAAAUAUCUUACGCGUCGUGAGAAAGGCCCAAUGUCAGAGGGGAAUGCACUCGGUGUGUAAGAAUAUAUUAUAUUUUCCUUUGCCUCCCUUAGCUUCUUCGAUCUAUCACUUAAUCUUUGGUAGGUUAGGAAAUUUACAAAAUUUAAAUACACUUCGCUAUCCGUUUGAAGGAACAGAGAAAACUUUAUCGGCCAGAACUUCCUAGAGCGUACAUAACCUCGAAACUGACUUCGGUGCCUUAUAAGGUAUGUUUUAAGUUACCUACGGAAGAUGCAUCUAUGCUUUGGUUCCACUUUAUAUUUGCAUCAACAUGCAUAUGCAUUCAACUGCAUUCUGCACUUUGCUACGAGCCAGGAAGUACGUUAAUCAUACUUCCGCUAAACCGGAAGGAUAUUACAGGUAAGGUGUUGUAUAUCG